rnacentral:rRNA from 1 species
UACGUAGGGCGCAAGCGUUUAUCCGGAAUUAUUGGGCGUAAAGAGCUCGUAGGCGGCUUGUUGCGUCGACUGUGAAAACCUGCGGCUCAACCGUGUGGUCUGCAGUCGAUACGGGCAGGCUGGAGUUCGGUAGGGGAGACUGGAAUUCCUGGUGUAGCGGUGAAAUGCGCAGAUAUCAGGAGGAACACCGAUGGCGAAGGCAGCCCCCUGGGCUAACACUGACGCUCAUGCACGAAAGCGUGGGGAGCAAACAGGG